rnacentral:lncRNA from 1 species
AGACUUUCCUGAUGGACGAAGGCAAAAGUGAUAGCUCGAAUAAAAGUGUAAUUCGUCGCUUUUAUACACUUUUUGACUACAAUGAUAGCAUGUAAUAUUAUUUAAUUCAAUUGUAGAAAUUACACAAUUUGCUGAAACAUAUUGUAGACUUGAUCAGUUUUGAUAGGAAUAGAUGGAACUGAAACCUCUCGCCCCGUUGACAACUCGUCCUAGACAAACUCGCCCCACUUUAAGGUUUACCAACUUGACCCACUAAUGAACAGGCAUUUAAUCCUGCUGAAUAAAAACCUGUAAACCAGUGAUGGAUCCAGGGGAUGGGGAUUCGAUCAAUGCAUUUUUUGCUCACAAGGGCCCCAAGGUUCCCAUCUGAGCUUAUGCCAUCACUUGGCAUCCGUCGUCAUCUGUCAGCAUCGUAAACUAUUUCUUAAAUCUUCUUUUAAACUACUGGGCCAAAUACCUUCAAAAGUUAACUUAAUGUUCCUUAGGGUAUCUAGUUUAUAAAUUGUAUCCAAGGUUUUGAUCCAUCGACAAACAUGGCCGCCAUGUCUAAAAAUAGAAAAAGGGGUCAAAUGCAGUUUUUGUCUUAUAUCUCAAAAACUAAAGCUAUGAGAGCAAAUCUGACAGUGGUAAAAUUGUUCAAUUGGUCAAAAUUUAUCAGCCCUGAAAUUUUCAGACGAAUCCAGCAACGUUCAUGACGUUGCUGCCACCAAAUUCGUGGUAGUUUUAACGAAACUUCACAUUUUUUGUUAUUAUUUUGAAUAUCAUUAUAGAUAAGUAUAAACUGGAAACAGCAAUAAUGUUCAGCAAAGUAAGAUCUAUAAAAAAGUUAUAUGACAAAAAUGACAAUUGACCCCUUAAAAUUGCCCUUUAAAGAAAUUUACACUAUUUGUUCAUCAAGUUUGCUAACACUUAAAAAUCUUCUCCUGAAAUGCAGGUGAGUGAUUCAGGCUCUUGAGAGCCUCUUGCUAUAAAUUUCUGGAUCCACCCAAGGCAACCCUACCCACUUAUGAAAAGGAAUCAUAUCAGAAAAGGGGACACAUAUCCUCUUCUCUUGAGUUUUUGUGCUAUUAAAAAUACAUAGUGAUGUCACAAUUUCCAUUGAAAAAGUAUACAUAGUACGAAUUCAUAUGAUGUACAAAAAACAUAUGAUCUGACCAUACUUGCCUUCCCAUGCUGCUAAACUUAUAUUUCAUUGAGAGCAACAAAAAAACACAUUACUGCCAUGGCAUUUUUAUUUGGAGAGAUAGAUAACAUCACAAGACAAAUAUGCAUCAUUAUACAACACUUGUAAAAAGAGACACAAUUCUCAAGACUUUACUUCAAAACACAUAUGAGCAUACAUAUACACAACACAAGACAUGAUAACUUGUACAAAAAAUGAAAAGUAUUCAUAUUUCCCGUAAUAACGAACAAACAACUUUUCAUAAGAGUGGUGAGUUGUUAGGUUUCAAUACAGUGGGAUUAAACUUCAUUGAUAAAGAGGAUAGAGUUAAUAACAUGAGUUAGGCAAGUUGGUAGAAAAUUUGAAGGAGAUGGUCUUGGAUGAUAUGGAAAUGAGGCAACUUGUCGUUGGUUGUUCGAAAGUUGCAUUUAAUAUUUGUUGUGGAUUAGUUUUUAUUAUUUUAUUUUUUUAUGAUUCCAUUAAUUUAUUUCUGGUAAUGUGAUGUGAAGAAGCUUGCCCCCAUCUUCUCCCUUUAACUUCCCAGCAAACAUCCAAUCCCCAAUAAACAGAAGAGAUCAAUCUCAACCAACUAAAAUCUGCAAUUAUUUCAAAUUGUCUAACUGAUUAAAAUAGUUGUCCCACUUAAAAAUGACCCCUUGAAAACUAAUCAUCAUUUAUGGGAAUGAUGGAUGAGUUGGUGUUUAAAUUGCAUCUUCAAAUAUUCCCUAAAUAUGAGGACCACACAUGUUAGUACCAUAUGCAGGAUAAUUAGAUACAAGUAUCAUCGAAGAAAAUUCUGCAGCAAUCAUAAGCACACAACAAAUGCAUAUUUCCAUUCUCAAUUUUAUAUGCAUCAACAAGAGUACCUACUAUAUAUUGAUAACAUUUAAAUUGUUAUAAAGUUAUUCGUAGAGACAGAAACAAUAAAUUGGACAUCUGAUUAAUAAUAAAUGCUUGUUUUAAUUUAUUUCAGCAAUACUGAAGAAGUGGAUAAUGUUGAAGAAGAGGAAAGUUACAGGUUUAUAUACUUAUUUGUAUAUGUUUAUCGCUUGUCCAGUUAAUGGUACUACUAUUAAUUGGUAAUAUAGUUUAGAAAUAUGGUACCAAACAUAUAUAUAUUAAAAGCUAACUUAGAUGUGUCUGUACUUUAGUUUAUCACCAAUUUGUACAUUUUCCUUUUGAUCCUAAUACUAAUCUAAUAUAUAAUUAAAUUCCAUGUGGUGAACAAACGCCUAUGUGAAUCAUUUCGUUAGAGUCCCUGAAGUGGAUACCUUGGUAUGCAGGGUUGUCAAAUUAUGCAAAUAAAUGCAACAUUAAAAUGAUGCUCAAAAUUGACAACAACACUUCGAAUGGUCUGCAAUUUUAUUUGCUAUGGUCUACAUGUUUCGCCUGCAAGGCAGGCUUCAUCAGGACAAUUUUAAUACAGAAAUUAAUCCCUGAAGUACUCAAAGUGGUGCAAUGUGACGUCGUCAUGGUGAGAGAAACAAUGAAAAGUGAAAGUAGCAAUACAGAGUUAUUAAUCUAAUAUAUAUGUUCCAGACCGUAUGAGUAUUUGGACCGUACGCGUACAGUCUGGACCGUAUGCGUACUUUUUCGAAAUACUCAUACGGUUGGACCGUACGCGUACGGUCUGACUAAUAUCAAGGAGUUGGUCAAUUGUACUAGAUACAAAUACAUAUAACAGAUCAACAUAACUUAACUCUCAAAUAAAUAGAAAAAAAAUCAAUUGUAAUUGAAAUAAAAACUUUACAUUUUAACUAUUUAAAAAAUUCACGCUAAUUAAAUCUGUAAAUCUCUAGUAUUUAGCAUGUAGAUCAGUCAUACAUAAUACACUAAUUGAAUUAUGACAAUUAUUCUCACUGAAAUUGAAUGCGAAUAAUGUGGGAGGACAAUUGCUUUAGAAUAUUUAGCAACUUUAAAAAAAAAUGCUAAUCGAAAGGAACAUGCAUGAACUGAAAAAAUGUAAAUAUGAAAAAUAUACUUUUGGUAGCGAGUGUCACCUUUGACGAGAGUUUCAAAAUAGAUUCAAUAUUACAAUUAAACAAAUUCUAAUUUAAAUUGUUAGGUAGUUCAUUUUAUCCAUCUUAUGUAAUAAUAACAAUUUGUAAAACUAAAAAAUAAAGAUUGAUAAAUGUUUGUAUAGAUGUAUCCAAUAACAUGUAUGGUCAGCUCAUACUGGACCAUACGCGUAUACUCAUACGGUCCGACCGUACGCGUAUGGUCGGACCGUACGAGUAUACGUAUACGGUCUGGAACAUAUAUAUACUUAAUGUUAUAGACAGGAACUGAUGUAUACUCUAAAACAUUAUUUCACAUAUACAGCAUGUAUUUUGUAUUUUUAGCUUAACAGUACUAUGCACAGAUGUUCCAGCUUCUCUAGAAAUCGAACUGAGGAAAUUAUUAUCCCAAAAGCUAUCAAAAAGUGCUGUGUAUUUUGGUGCUGGCAGUGUAACACAGUUCGAAGUAAGGUAAGAUAUC